GCUAAAAUAAAAUUAACAAGCUUCCAACAAAGCACGUAACCCAUCCCCUAAUCGACGCAAUUUACCGAUGCGUUUUAUCAUUACGUCGACUCAAUCCUUCUCAUGUGAAUUUCAACGCGUGAGAUGGGUUUGGAGAAGAGCAUAUGGCAUCAAGUUGAAGACCAGAGAAUUAAAUCGUCAUCCACCACCGCUUCUUAAUCGGCAAGUGUCGUCAAUUUGUCCUCCCAUCUAUAAAUACCAAUCCUCGCCAGCCAUCUUCAUCUAUUCUUAUGGGAUUGUCUUCACUCAUUGACAAUUAUCGAUCCCGAAGGAGUAUUUAUUUUAUUUUUUUUAGUUUAUGAAAUUAGGGCUUUUAGUUACUAAAACCACACUCACAUGUUCUUCAUUUUCAUCGUAUUCCGUUUGUGUCAAGGAUUUUUUUUCUUGGUUUAUUGUUGUCAUUCAGGGAAGGUAUUUAUAGGGUACACCCAAAGGAACGGUUUGCUUUUUUAAGACCGGGUUCACCUUUUAGAGGCGAUUUGGGUUUUCUCACAAUCGAUCUUCUAGGCACCGCCCCAAAAUGAAAUGUUUCUUAUAAUUCCCAAAUGUGGAGAUUGGCGAAACUGACCUUGUUGAGAUCUGAGAAAGAAUCAAAUUAAUGCCUCGUUCUUCACUCAGUUGGCAUUGGCAUUUAUCGGUUCUCCUCGUCAGGCAUACAACAAGUGGGAUGUAACAAGGUUGAAUUUCACAAAUGCAAGUGCUCUGGUUGCUGCAUUUCAACCAUUCCUUGAAUUAGGAGGAAUGACAUUAACUUCAUUGGGCCAAAUGUAAGUAAUUUAUUAUCGUCACUUAUAUUAAAAUUCUUGAUAAUGCGGUAAUACCUUUUUGCAGCCUGAUAGUAUUCAUGUUAUAGGGGAACCAAGCAACUUCUAGAGUUACCAUGAAGAAUGUUGGUGUUCCAAAAAGUGUUUCUACUUGGCUGGUUUAUUGUUUUUUAAUCUAUUCUUCUGAUUUGUGAACUGAGGAUUUUGAUUUUUGGAUGUUUUUACUUAAAGCUUCAAUCUUCAUUGAUGAAUUAAAAAGGGUUUUGAUUAUAAGAUUUAGAUCUUGGUUUGGAUCUGAUUCGGGUUUGCAAGGAGUUUUUAUUUUUUGUUAACAUUUCUUUAAUUUAAAGGGAGCCUUGGAUGAUGGUCACUAGAAUAGAAGAUGGAGCGAAGCUUGUUGGUUAUGGGUUUGAGAAAAAACUAAAGAUUUUAGCCAUUAAAGAUGAUGUGAAGGUUUUGUUGUUGGGUUUGGGUGAAGAAAUCAAUAGAGAAGGUCUUAGGAAGACCCCUUUUUUGUUGUAAAAACCCUUCGUGAAAGAACCAGAGGGUCAGCAAGGUCUUUUCAAGAUAAGGCACAGGGCACAAGAAAGUGACAGGCACAGGGGACAAAAACUUGUGAAUGACAAGAAGGGCAAUCAAUACAUGGAGUUAUAUUCACAUUCAUCUUUCUGCUAUUUUUGUUAUUUGCAAAUUUGACAGUGAUUGAAAUUAGCAACGGAUCAAGGUAAAGUAUGUACUUCAACAAGACAAAAGGAAUUAUCAAGUUAAGCCUGCCAGGCUGUUUCCUAUGUGAAAAAGCAAUAGGUGUCAAUGCCACGCUUGGCAUGCUAUUGCCUAAGAGUGAUGUCAAUAGGACAAAAGAUGCAAUUUUUUCCCACACAAAAAAUAGAGAAGGAUUCACAGUUCAUACCAACAUCAAAAAUACCCCCCCCCCCCCCCCCCCCCCCCCAAAAAAAAAAAAAAAAGCUUUGGCAAUACUAAAUGUAGUAAGAACAUUGUCGAUGAUCUAAAUAUUUAUUAGAUUAACAAGUGAAGAACUCAAAAGUGUUUGCUACAAUGUCAUAUCUUCGCUAGGUUUGAUUCAGUAAUGUCCAUUCAAUGGAUAUGAGCAAGAAACUAAAUUAUUAUAUAUAAGAUGUGACUUUUUCCAAGUUUAAGAAUUAAUUUGUUUGGCCCCUUACAACUGAGCUUUUCCAUUUUUUGAUUUCUUAACUUCAAAUUUGUAACACCCAAAGUCAGGAAGGCCAAGAAAGGUAAGGAAACCCUAAGUUAAGGGACGACUCGGCGAGUCCGAGCGGGAUCCGGGUCGAGGAGUAAGUGACCGACUCAGCGAGUCGGCCAAGGAGACUCGACGAGUCUUGUCUAUACGAGGAAAACCCUAAAUUCGGGACUUGGAGCCUAUUUAAGCGCCCCAUUCUCUUCCCUAGGGUUCCUUUACUGCCUCUCUAACCCAGAAUACCAAACCCUAGCCGCCAUAUCCAGUGUUGAGC